AAUUUUUUUUCACCCAUCUUUGAACAUUAUUCCAAUGACAGGGUGGAAUUUGAUUUCAGUGUAAAUCAAAACUAAACUUUGAACUGACGUCUGUGCCCAUUUGGAGGGGUGUGUUAUUAAUAUUGUAGUUGAUUUCUGUUUAUACUAUAAAAUAUAACUAACUUUUGAACAGCUCUAGCGUAGUAGUUUGAACAGUAAACAGAAGACAUGCCCACCGUAAUAACAAAAGACAAAACAAACAACACAAAACAUGAAGUUGAAGGGAACACAUCUUUAUUGUUUGAACAGUAGCUUGGUUUAGACGUUCUAACAGAAGUUCGAAAGUAGUUCUUAGAACCCCUUCUGUUCUCAGAUCAGUUAUUGGAACGUUAGCAGUUGGUUCAGAGGUUACUGAUCUCAGACCAGUUAUUGGAACGUUAGCAGUAGCUGAUUGGUUCAGAGGUUACUGAUCUCAGACCAGUUAUUGGAACGUUAGCUAGUUGGUUCAGAGGUUACUGAUCUCAGACCAGUUAUUGGAACGUUAGCAGUAGCUAGUUGGUUCAGAGGUUACUGAUCUCAGACCAGUUAUUUGAACGUUAGCAGUAGCUAGUUGGUUCAGAGGUUACUGAUCUCAGACCAGUUAUUGGAACGUUAGCAGUUGGUUCAGAGGUUACUGAUCUCAGACCAGUUAUUGGAACGUUAGCAGUAGCUAGUUGGUUCAGAGGUUACUGAUCUCAGACCAGUUAUUGGAACGUUAGCAGUAGCUAGUUGGUUCAGAGGUUACUGAUCUCAGACCAGUUAUUUGAACGUUAGCAGUAGCUAGUUGGUUCAGAGGUUACUGAUCUCAGACCAGUUAUUGGAACGUUAGCUAGUUGGUUCAGAGGUUACUGAUCUCAGACCUGUUAUUGAACGUUAGCAGUAACUAGUUGGUUCAGAGGUUACUGAUCUCAGACCAGUUAUUGGAACGUUAGCUAGUUGGUUCAGAGGUUACUGAUCUCAGACCUGUUAUUGGAACGUUAGCAGUAACUAGUUGGUUCAGAGGUUACUGAUCUCAGACCAGUUAUUUGAACGUUAGCAGUAACUAGUUGGUUCAGAGGUUACUGAUCUCAGACCAGUUAUUGGAACGUUAGCAGUUGCUAGUUGGUUCAGAGGUUACUGAUCUCAGACCAGUUAUUGGAACGUUAGCAGUAGCUAGUUGGUUCAGAGUUUACUGAUCUCAGACCAGUUAUUUGAACGUUAGCAGUAGCUAGUUGGUUCAGAGGUUACUGAUCUCAGACCAGUUAUUGGAACGUUAGCAGUAGCUAGUUGGUUCAGAGGUUACUGAUCUCAGACCAGUUAUUGGAACGUUAGCUAGUUGGUUCAGAGGUUACUGAUCUCAGACCUGUUAUUGGAACGUUAGCAGUAGCUAGUUGGUUCAGAGGUUACUGAUCUCAGACCUGUUAUUGGAACGUUAGCAGUAGCUAGUUGGUUCAGAGGUUACUGAUCUCAGACCAGUUAUUGGAACGUUAGCAGUAGCUAGUUGGUUCAGAGGUUACUGAUCUCAGACCAGUUAUUGGAACGUUAGCAGUUGGUUCAGAGGUUACUGAUCUCAGACCAGUUAUUGGAACGUUAGCAGUUGGUUCAGAGGUUACUGAUCUCAGACCAGUUAUUGAACGUUAGCAGUAGCUGGUUGGUUCAGAGGUUACUGAUCUCAGACCAGUUAUUGGAACGUUAGCAGUUGGUUCAGAGGUUACUGAUCUCAGACCAGUUAUUGGAACGUUAGCAGUUGGUUCAGAGGUUACUGAUCUCAGACCAGUUAUUGGAACGUUAGCAGUAGCUAGUUGGUUCAGAGGUUACUGAUCUCAGACCAGUUAUUGGAACGUUAGCAGUUGGUUCAGAGGUUACUGAUCUCAGACCAGUUAUUUGAACGUUAGCAGUAGCUAGUUGGUUCAGAGGUUACUGAUCUCAGACCAGUUAUUUGAACGUUAGCAGUUGCUAGUUGGUUCAGAGGUCACU